GCUUAGCGAGCCCAUGAUACGAAUGCUUAGCGAGCCUGUGAAACGUAUCAGCUUAACGAGCUAUGAUACGAAUGCUUAGCGAGCCUGUGAGACGUAUCAGCUUAACGAGCCAUGAUACGAAUGCUUAGCGAGCCUGUGAGACGUGUCAGCUUAACGAGCCGAUGAUACGAAUGCUUAGCGAGCCUGUGAGACGUAUCAGCUUAACGAGCCAUGAUACGAAUGCUUAGCGAGCCUGUGAGACGUAUCAGCUUAACGAGCCAUGAUACGAAUGCUUAGCGAGCCUGUGAGACGUAUCAGCUUAACGAGCCGAUGAUACGAAUGCUUAGCGAGCCUGUGAGACGUAUCAGCUUAACGAGCCGAUGAUACGAAUGCUUAGCGAGCCUGUAGACGUAUCAGCUUAACGAGCCGAUGAUACGAAUGCUUAGCGAGCCUGUGAGAUGUAUCAGCCUAGCCAGCCCAUGAUACGAAAGCUUAAAGAGCCUAUGUUACAAAAAUUCUUAAAUAGCCCAUUAUACAAGUAAGCUUAAAGAGCCUAUGAUACUAUUGCUUAGAGAGCCCAUUAUACAAGUAAGCUUAAAGAGCCCGUGUAACGUAUCAGCUUAAAGAGCCUAUGAUACUAAUGCUUAGAGAGCCCAUUAUACAAGUAAGCUUAAAGAGCCUAUGAUACUAUUGCUUAGAGAGCCCAUUAUACAAGUAAGCUUAAAGAGCCCGUGUAACGUAUCAGCUUAAAGAGCCUAUGAUACAAAUGCUUAGAGAGCCCAUUAUACAACCCAGUCAACGGAGUCGCUGAGUACCAGUAGGCUACGUCACGAUUCCCUUUAACCGAUUGGGGAGGUGCGCGAAGAUGGAAGUGCUGUGGUGCUACUUGCUGACCUUCGUGGGCGAAGGUUUUUCAUCAGGAGGCCGAACUGAUAACCGAUUAUGUGGUUUGCUCGAACGCUGCUCUAAGGUCGGUGUCAAUUGUGACAUUACGAUUGGCGCGACCCGGACUGUCAGAAGAGGAUCGCCUUCCAUGGCUGCGUCGGAGUGUGAUUUACUUGAAGCUACGCCUGUUUUCCAUGUUUUAUGUAUUAAAUCCUUUAUUUAA